UCUUCCUCGCGUUGUCGCGGCAUUUUGCCACGGCUCAUGGGAGCCUGGGGAAUUCACGUAGGCACUAGUUUUUACGAAAGCGACUGCCAUCUGACCUUCCAACCCAGAGGGUAAACUAGGCCUUAUUGGGAUUAGUCCGGUUUCCUCACGAUGUUUUCCUUCACCGAAAAGCGACUGGUAAAUAUCAAAUGAUAUUUCGUACAUAAAUUCCGAAAAACUCAUUGGUACGAGCCGGGGUUUGAACCCGCGACCUCCGGAUUGCAAG